GUCUUUUUGAUUAUAAUUUAAAGUCUAAUCUGCCCACUGAUAAAAUAUUAAAGGGCUGCAGUAUAAUGACUGUACAAAGGUAGCAUAAUCAAUAGUUUUUUAAUUGAAAACUUGUAUGAAAGAUUUGAUGAAAUAUAAACUGUCUCUUAUUUAUUUUUAGAAAUUUAUUUUUUAGUUAAAAAGCUAAAAUAAGUUUAAAAGACGAGAAGACCCUAUAGAGUUUUAUAUUUAUUUUUAUUUUAAAAUUAUAUAAAAAUUUAUAUUAAAUUAAAAAUAAAUAUUAUGUUGGGGUGACAGAAAAAUUAAAUUAACUUUUUUUAAAUUAUAUACAUAAAUAAAUGAUUAAAUGAUCCAUAAAUAAUGAUUAUAAGAAAAAAUUACCUUAGG
rnacentral:rRNA from 2 species